rnacentral:rRNA from 1 species
UGAACGCUAGCGACAGGCCUAACACAUGCAAGUCGAGGGGCAGCACAAGGAGCAAUCUGAGGUGGCGACCGGCGCACGGGUGAGUAACACGUAUGCAACCUGCCUGUAAGCGGGGAAUAACCCGUUGAAAGACGGACUAAUACCGCAUAAUACUAAAUUACUGCAUGGUAAUUUAUUUAAACAUUUAUGGCUUACAGAUGGGCAUGCGCAUGAUUAGCUAGUUGGAGAGGUAACGGCUCCCCAAGGCAACGAUCAUUAGGGGUUCUGAGAGGAAGGUCCCCACACUGGUACUGAGACACGGACCAGACUCCUACGGGAGGCAGCAGUGAGGAAUAUUGGUCAAUGGACGAGAGUCUGAACCAGCCAAGUCGCGUGCAGGAAGAAUGUCCUAAUGGAUUGUAAACUGCUUUUGCAGGGGGAAUAAAGUGCAUCACGUGUGAUGUUUUGUAUGUACUCUGCGAAUAAGGAUCGGCUAACUCCGUGCCAGCCGCUGC